CGCCUUGCCAGCCCGCUCAGAACUUAAAGGAAUGGACGGGGCCCGCACAAGCGGUGGAGUAUGUGGUUUAAUUCGAUGCAACGCGAAGAACCUUACCUGGUCUUGACAUCCCGGAGACCCUUAGGAAACUAGGGGGUGCUUCCAUCUGGAAGAAUCUGGAGACAGGUGCUGCAUGGCUGUCGUCAGCUCGUGUCGUGAGAUGUUGGGUUAAGUCCCGCAACGAGCGCAACCCUUGCCUUUAGUUGCCAGCAGUUCGGCUGGGCACUCUAAAGGGACUGCCGGUGUUAAACCGGAGGAAGGUGGGGAUGACGUCAAGUCCUCAUGGCCUUUAUGACCAGGGCUACACACGUACUACAAUGGCCGAUACAAAGGGCAGCGACACUGCGAGGUGAAGCCAAUCCCGUAAAAUCGGUCUCAGUCCGGAUUGGAGUCUGCAACUCGACUCCAUGAAGUUGGAAUCGCUAGUAAUCGUGGAUCAGCAUGCCACGGUGAAUACGUUCCCGGGCCUU
rnacentral:rRNA from 1 species